AUUGAACGCUGGCGGCAGGCCUAACACAUGCAAGUCGAACGAGUGGCGGACGGGUGAGUAAUGUCUGGGAAACUGCCUGAUGGAGGGGGAUAACUAAUGGAAACGGUAGCUAAUACCGCAUACUAUCGGAUGUGCCCAGAUGGGAUUAGCUAGUUGGGGGGGUAACGGCUCACCAAGGCGACGAUCCCUAGCUGGUCUGAGAGGAUGACCAGCCACACUGGAACUGAGACACGGUCCAGACUCCUACGGGAGGCAGCAGUGGGGAAUAUGGGGCAAUGGGCGCAAGCCUGAUGCAGCCAUGCCGCGUGUAUGAAGAAGGCCUUCGGGUUGUAAAGUACUUUCAGCGGGGAGGCGGUACCCGCAGAAGAAGCACCGGCUAACUCCGUGCCAGCAGCCGCGGUAAUAC
rnacentral:rRNA from 1 species